UGAACAAUGAGAACACUUUGACACAGGAUGGGGAACAUCACACACUGGGGCCUGUCAUGGGGUGGGUGAGAAAGCAUCAGGACAAAUAGCUAAUGCAUGCGGGGCUUA